AUGGAGGAUGCUCGAGGCAUGCCGGAGCGGGAGGAUGCCGGAGCUGGAAGAUGCUCGAGGCACGCCGGAGCUGGGGAGGCUGGAGGAUAGCGGAGCCGGGAUGCUGGGGGAAGCUGCAGGGUGCCGGAGCCAGGAUGCUGGAGGGUGCUGAAGCCAGGAUGCUGGAGGGUGCUCGAGGAUGCCGGAGCCGGGAUGCUCGAGGAUGCUCAAGGAUGUUGGAGCCAGGGUGCUGGAGGAUGCUGGAGGAUGCUGGAGCCAGGGUGCUCGAGGAUGUUGGAGGAUGCUGGAGCCAGGGUGCUGGGGGAUGCUGGAGGAUGCCUGAGCACACUGGAGCCAGGACGGCGGAGGAUGCUGGAGCCAGGAUGCUCAAGGCAGCCCCGUGCCCCCCCAGGACCACGAAAAACCCAGCUCAUUUCCUGGGGGAGGUCUCCGUCCCUGUGGGUCACCGUCCCCAUGGGUCACCAUCCCCAGGGGUCACCGUCCCUAUGGGUCACCAGCGUCGGGGGCUGCUCGGUGCGGACCUGGCCCCCCCCCGGACACUCCCCCCUGGCUCUGG
rnacentral:lncRNA from 1 species